AUUCCAGUAUACUUGCCUGGAGAAUCCCAUGGACAGAGGAGCCUGGAGGGCUACAGUCCAUAGGGUUGCAAAGAGUUGAAUACAACCGAAGCGACUUAGCACACACGUACGUGUGCUGGUUCCUUCAGUGAAACCAGAGGAUGGCAAGUGAGAGAGAAAGGCAUCGGAAGAUCUGAUUCGCCCUUUCCUGGAGAGACAGGAGCUUGUCCUCAUAAACAUGUGGAGGGUCUUUAGAAACCACUUUGCCUGCCAGCAAUACUCAACUCACCCAUUUAUUCAUUCAUAUCAGAGGCUGAUGCUCAAGACUCUAAAAGUGUGCUAAGAGCAGGCCCUUAAAUCACUGUAGAUUCAUGGGAGAACUCAGAGCUGCCUUUAGGCUGAUAACUAGCAAAGACUAAAGCCAAGUAUUGAUACAUGGGAGUGGAGGUGCUUGUUGAAAAUAUAGAGGCCUGGUAAAUAUUCUUUCACCAAUGGAAGUAUUUCAGUCAGGGGUUUUAAUAAGGCUUAGGUGAUAUGUAAUCAGCUCACUCUCUUUGAAAUGAUAAGCGUCUCUGCUCUACCAGUGCUCCUGGGUGUCUGCAGAGAGCAAAAAAGGCAGCUGGAGACAUGCUGUGAAUUGGAAGUGACUUCUAUUUACUUCUUCUCCACCUACUCAUAUGGCCACGGAUGAUGCCCAGUUCAAGGGGGGAUCAAAAGCCAAGUGGGGCUGUCUGGCUGCAGUCCUUUGAGUGGAGUACAAAACGUGCUUCAGAGAGUGCUUGAUUAAAGGCCCCCAGUUCAUUUGAAGGCUUGGUUUUCUAUUAAGCCUUGAAUGCUUAGACUGUUGGGUACUUUCCACAGAGACAGAAUCUGAGCUAUCCUCGUACGUUGUUUCAGCUCCUGACUCCCGACUUGGCCAGAUGUGUGUUGUGAAUCAAUAUGUCACAGUCUGUUAAGGUGUUUUACUGUUUAUGUUUGUUGGGUGUUUAGAGAUGCAGUAACUAUAGGAGUCUUUUCUUAGUCUGUCAUCUGCAUCUGAAGAAAGAGAGAGUAAUGCAGAAAGCCAAUCACAGCACCAUAAUUAUAUCCAAAAGUAGGCACUUGUGUCCUUCAUCAGGGACAUUUCCAAUCCAUGCUACCCAAUGAAACAUCUUUUAUAGACACCUCUCUCUCAUUUCUUCCUCCAAACUGAUUCCUCACUUUCUUCCACCCAAAUUAAAGUAUACUGUGAGUCACGGCAUUAUUGAUGAAUGUUCAGUAGGGAGGAUGUUAGGAGCAGUGAAAAAUAUAAAUAAUUGGUUCUACACUGGAUAAUAAUUGGUUCUACACUGGAAUUAAUGGUGAAGCCAGGAAGAUAAAUACAGCACAAUUAAUUGCAUUCAAGCAAGAUUAACAAGAGUAUUGUUCUAUGGAAAGAAAAAAAUCAACGGUGUUAAUGAAAAUUCAGCAAUAUCUUAGUGGAACUAGUAAAUAAAUAAAUAUAUCUCUAUAUGUUUAAUUAAAAGCAAGACUCAAUUAUGUCUCGUUUCUUACUGAGCUGCUUAAUUCAAGAAAUGUUAAUGUUAAACGAGAAAAUCAACUCAGGACACCUUUUCAUCUGCAUUUAAUUAAGACUUCUGUGUCUCAGACAAGCUUUUGAGACAGGUAGUGGCAAGUGUGUACUUAAGAAUCUCGAAUGAACUUGCCUCAGCUUUCAGUUUACAGGUCUUUAGAUUUCCUGUUUGGGUACAGAACUCUCCUAAUAGUAUUGCAACUGUAAAGCCCCUUCCUCUAUUACCUUCAUUUUGUCAUUUUGAUAAAAAGAUACCAUUUCAGACUUAAAAAAGCAAAGCUUAAAGCUAUAGCUAAAAUUAUUAGUAUGUUCUUUUUUUUCUAAUAAUAAAAGCAACACAGAAAUGUUCAGCACUGCGUUUACAUGAGGUUUUGCUUCAGUUCAACUCAAUUUCCUGCAAUGUUUUAGGUCUUACAGAAAGCAUUACAGAUCAGAUUUGGGGAAGAAGAUCUGGGAGGUCAUUUCUCAUCUGUGUUGUUCCCAGUCUCUGGGAUGUAAGGCCAGAGAAUCUGAGAUGGAGCCUGAUGUAAUAAUGAUAGAAGCAACGUGCACAAUGAAUGCAGUGUGCUUGAAUCAUUCCAAAGAUCAGUCCCCCACCCCCACCCAGCCCAUGGAAAAAUUGUCUCCCACAAAACCGGUCCCUGCUGCCAAAAAGUUGGAGACUGCUGGUAAACACUUCUCUACAGUCAAUUCUUCUAAGUUGUUUUCUCUGUACCUGCUAAGAGUCCAAGGUGAAUUCGAGUUAUUCCUCUUUGCUGAGUUCAUCUCCAAGGUGAUGGAAUGGAAUCGGGGGCAGAAGUCCCUCUCCGCAGAGGUACUGAAGAGGGGAUGCCCUGAAGGUUCCAGUGGGGCCGGAAGGCAGGCACACAGAGCAGGAAGUAACUGUGUCUGCCCCGGGGCUCUGUGUGUGGCCCUUUCUAAAUCCUUCCGUGUUUCAUGUCCUCUCACUUGGCAAGAGUAUUGCCAGGACUGAUGAAGAAACAGUGAGAUAACUGUCCAAUACCUCAAAAUCCUUGGAAGAAAGAUGCGGUGGUAUAAAUCAAAGUCAUUUCUUAUUUCAGUAUUAAUUAUGCAAACCUCUUUCUUUUCUUCAUCCUACAAGGUCUUUUUUCAUCUUUCCUGAAGGUCUCAUUGCUCACCGGUUUCCACAGGGGAAAUAACAUUAUUGGCAACUCUUCUGAGCACUUGUUCCCGGCCAGGCACCAUACAAAGGCCUAAGGAUACAGCUGCAAUGACAGACACAAUCCUCCAAGCUGGGCUGUGUAUUUAGUAAGUUUCUCACUUUCUCUGAGCCGUGAUCCCUUUAUUUGUAACAUAGAAAAAAAAAUUUUUUUUAAAUAGGUAUCAUGCCUUCCAGAAAUUUUUUGAGGAUUAUUUGAGAUAAUGUAUAUAAAAUUGUCUAGUGGAAUAUAACUUAAGAGUUUAAUCAUGUUACUUCCCCCACCCCCAUCAUAAGCAAGAAAAGGAAAAAAAACUGAAUUCACACAUUUCCCCAUUUCUUAACAAUUUUUAAAAAAAUAGAUUGUUGUUUAAUAGAAAGUUUAAGGUCUUCACUUAAAAGAAUACGUCAUUUAGGACGAAACAGCAGAUCACAGGUUAGAGAUCACAGGACCAGAAUCUUCAAGCCACUCUUUCCCUCCCAGGAUACAUUCUAUCAGAAAAAGCAAAUCAUUCGCCUGAGUCAGAAGUGUGUAGUUUUUCAUCUCAAGAUAGUGGAAACCCCUGAGCCGAAAGGAUGGAGGGAGAGACCUUGGGAGGUUGAGCCAAAGUCUUUGCAGAGCCAGUGCCCAGCUCCUUGGCUGACCUGGGGGAGCAGCUCUGUGAACUGGGGAGACCAGCUCUGCCAGGGUGGCCUGCAAGUUGAAUUUGCCUGGCAUGACCUAUUGGUGUUCCCAGGCUCUGGGAACAAAAUAAGCAAGAAGCCUUUUUUGGAGGGAUCUCAGGAAAAUUUUGUUCACUUCCAAGAGAGAAUAUUCCAAAGUUCCUUCCCACCUCUGUUUCCCUUUGGCCUUCCUCACUUUUCCCAGCCUCUGCUCUGAGGUCUGCUAUUUAUGCAGAUCCAAUCUGGUUUCCCCGAUGGCUCAGUGGUAAAGAAUCAUCCUGCAGUGCAGGAGUCUCACGAGAUGAGAGUUGAUCCCUGGGUUGGGAAGAUCCCCUGGAGGAGGGCAUGACAAUCUACUCUAGUAUUCUUGUCUGGAGAAUUCUAUGGACAGAGGAGCCUGGUGGGCUACACGACUGAAACGACUCUGCACGCACGCGAAUGCCCAUAACCUCCAGAGAAGGCCUGGAGGGCUAAGUGUGCCCUGUGUGGGCAGGCGCAGCAGGAGAUAGUAAACAGUGCUGGGCAGUGAGGCAGGAGUCCCGGGAUUCAUCCCUCAGGGGUCAUCCACAAGCAGUGGGCCCUCGAAGCUGUUGGGAGAUUUCUGCAUCUCUUCUUCCUUAUGUGUAAAGUGAGGGGCUUGGCCUCCAUGUCUGAAGGGCUCUCCCUAGCACUACUGGUCUGACAUCUCUCCCAGAAGUCAGUGCAAAUAGCAGGGCAGUGUUCCUUUCUUAGUAUCCAUCAUACAAGAAGCCAGGAGGUGGCCCACAGAAGGAACCAAUGGCUCAGGGUGAUAGAAAGACCCCAGGAAAGAAAUUCUGCUGUGUGAAGGAGACUGUACCUCUGUCCAGCCCAUGCCAGCCCCCGACAUCCCCUAAGGACACGAGGCCCAAGUUAAGGUCAAAGACAUAGCUUCCCUUAGUCAAUGAGGGUUCCCAAAGCUCCCAACUUCCCAACUGAAAGAGGAGGCACACGUGGAAUGCUAAAUUUGGAAUAAUUUAGCAAGAACACUUCAACAUUCAGAGUACCAUGCAGAAGGUGGGAUACAAACAGACCACAGACGGGUAGGUUUUAUGUGGUGUACACAAAGAUUUAAACAACAUGUGCACUAUUAAAAGAAAAGAAUAAAAGGAAACUGUGAAAACAGGAGGCUCUCCAUUUAAAAUAUAUAUAUAUAUUUCCAGCGUUUGUUAAAUAAACACAGUAGAAGAUCUGGCCACACUGGUUCCCAUGCCCACCCCCCAACAAAGGGCUCAGUGGCACAGCUCCUGGGUUUCCAAAGGUGCAAUGUGAUCCUGUAGUUUAGAAUUUGUACUAGAGGAAUAAUUUCCCUGUGAUCACAAAUUCACAAAAAAAUGAGAAAACAAAACAUACACACAGAGGACCACUUGUUUUACCAGCAAGUAGAGAAAGCAUCAUUGUGAAAGUGGGAGAGGUAGUUAAUGCUUACUAUGCAGACACCAAGCAUACUCCAUUCAUUUCCACUACCUGCCUAACUCACAAAAACAGUGAACUUCUUCUCCUCUCCCUGGAAAACCUGGAAGAUGGAAAUCUGCAGACAGUCUGCCGCUUUCUUCCAGACCUUCCUCUUUCAGAGGUAUGUAAGGUCAUGGUGGGGUGGGCUUGGCACCUAACCUUGGCAGGAGUCCUCUUAUCUUAAGACCUUGCUUUGUCAUAAUCAGCAGCAAACUUGACAAGUUUCAUCCAUCAGCCUUUGGGCAGGUAGGAAUCUAGGACAUUAAUCCAUAGUUCAUUUGCUUGAUACUAAUAACAGGGCUUUCUCUGAUGACUUUCUCCAUCUUUCACACAAAUGAGGAAAUUUAGGCUCACACAGGUAAGUAUCAUACCCCAAGGGUGGCAUCCCAGUAUCAGCUGGUCUAGAAAGGGGAUUGAGAAGGGAACUUUUCCUUGCCCUUUCUCUGGGGACAGUGAGAUGCCCUUCCAACCCAGCCCUUCCUUGUUCUCCCAGCUCAAAGGCAACAUGAACAUACACAUAUUGUAAGGCUGUAAGCUGGCCAGCUCCUCCCAUCCUCUCCUGGUGUCACCCUCACUGAGCAGAUGGAGUGGUGCCGGGAGAGGAGCCAGCUGGUCUCUGCAUGCUGUGGACCUGCUGCCCAUGGGAUGGCCACUGCCAGCUGCCACCACCUGAGGCUGACCGCUGAGAGCCAGGAGCUGGAGCCCUCAGCAGGUGUGGACAAGGAUAGGCCAUAAGCUCACCCAGGUUUCUAGGUACCCAGAAAAUACACAGUCCUCAGCAUCCCUGGAUGAGGCCACAGGAGCCACAGAGGAGCUUGUUUGUUGACCAUGGGCCAGAUCCGAAGAAAGUUCCAAGGCUUCUAUGUCUGAAGUUCCAAGUCAGUGUGGAAGCAGCCGAUUCACUUCCUAUGGACUGAACGUGUCUCCCCAAAAUUUGUAUGUUGAAGCCUUGAUCCCCCUAUAAUGGUAUUUGGAGGUGGGGCCUUGGGAGGCAGCUAGAGUUAGAUUAGAUAACGAGGAUGGGGCCCUCAUGAUGGGAUUAGUGCCUUCAAAAAAGGGGAAGGUCAGUGUAGGCCUCAGCAAACCAGGAAGCUGGGUCUCACCAGACAUCAGAUCUGGGAAAUCUGGUGGACCCCAGAUCUUGGACUUCACAGGAUAUCCAGAACCGUGAGAAGCAGAUGUUUGUUAUUUAAACUACCCAGUUGUGGUAUUUUUGUUAUGGCAGCCUGAGCUAAGAUACCUCCCAAAUUGAAUUCUUCAGCAACAAAUCCACCAAAUGAUCGUUUUGCAGAAUGACCACUUAACCUGUGAGCACCAGUCAGAAGGCUGGGCUAACAUCUUCCCUCCAGAGUAUAUAGGGGCCUGACCAGGAAAAUGGUCAGAACUUGAGUUUCUAACUUCUAAUACUGCAUAGGUGUGCUUCUGUAUGUUGUUAUUCUAUUUACUUCCAGAACUCAACAGUAGUUUCUCCAGACAUAUUUUAUUGCUGAGGCAUGUGAGGGUCGGAGAGGGUAAGAAGCAAUCCAAGGUCACUCAGUUGCUAACUGAUCCACCCAGGAUCAGUUCCUUCUGGCUCAAAGCUCCCUCUGUUCUCUGCAGCUGUGCCUGCAAAGAUGGUGCUGUGGAAACAUUUUUUGGUCUCAUACUGUUGAAUUCACCUUGAAUUCUUGGAAGAGUUUUAAACCAACUGCAAACACAAUUUCUAAAGAAUGUCCCCAUACUUCCUCCUUGUGCUGAUAUCUUCUUCCAGAUGACUGAGACAUGUCUGCUAAGACCAGAUUAACCUAUUUCAACUUGAUGGCUGGAUUCCGACACACUGAGGGGAAGGAAAUAUAUAAAGGACAAAACCUACAGUUACACUGAUCACAGUAACAUUUCCUCUUAGGAAAGCUUCAGGUUGUACAAACAAAUAUUUCCUUAGAACUAAAAGAAAAUAAGAAUCACCAUCCUUCCUUGAUUCCAAGAUAGGUAGUUUGGGAAGUCUGAAAGCUGGGUGUCUCAAAGUCAAUAUGUCAUUUAAUGGGCUGUCUUUUCUCCUCCCCACCCCAAGUGGGCUUUGACCUUAAAUCAAGAGAUAUCAAAAGCUGCAGUAAAAAUAAUUGUGUGUUUUAAAACCAAUGGUAUCUUAGAAAUAGGAAAUACGAAAUGAUGACAAGUCUAGCCAGAACCCUAAUUUGUUUCUAUAUCCCCAAUAUAUAGCAGGCAGUAUGAUUUCAAUAUGUUUAUGAGAAGUACGAAUAUCUCAACAAAAUAGACACUGACUUUUUUUUAAUUAGAAAAAGUUUCAAACGUAUACCAAAGUAGAUAGUGUACUGUGGUGAACUCCCAUCACCCAAUUCAGGAUUUUCAACUCAGGUGAUUUUGUUUUCUCUUCCACUCCCUCCCCAAUCCAGGUCAUUUUGAAGAAAAUCACAGAUGUCAGGGCAUUUCACUGAUAAAUGUAUCUGUAUAUAUUUGUAAACAACCAAGACUGAUGCUUUUAAAAAACAAUGAUGACAGGAUCAUCACACUCCCUAAAAUCACUAACAAUUCCUGAAUAUCAUCUCAUAUCCAUUUAGUAUCUACAGUUCCCUGUUGUUGUUGCUUAGUCACUAAGUCGUGUCCUACUCUUUGGACCCCAUGGACUGUAGCCCACUAGGCUCCUCUGUCCAUGGGAUUUCCCAGGCAAGAAUACUGGAGCAGGUUGCCAUUUCCUAGUCCAGGGGAGAUUCCCAAGCCAGGGAUUGAAUCUACAUCUUCUGCAUUGCAGGCAAAUUUUUAAUGCUGAGAGUUCCUCUCCCUUUUCCUUUUGUGGUAGUUUAUUUGCCCCAGGAUCCAAACAAAGUUUAUACUUUUUUCUGUUGGUUGUGUUGUUAUUGUUGAAGAACCCAGGUCUUUUGUCUGGUUGAAUUCCCCACAGUUUGGCUCUGCGGGUGGCAUGCCCGUGAUGUUGUUUAAUAAGCUUCCUUUUCUCCCCAAUUUCUUAUAAAAUGGUGUGCAGAGUUGGAGGUUUGUGCAGACUUAGUUUGGGGUUUGUAGUAUUUCCAUCAUGAGGUUCAUCAUACCUGACUGUCUCUAUCUUUGGAUGCCAUGAGCUAUGAUGAUAAUUGCUUAGGUCAUAUCAUCACUUUUGAGAUGACUUUCUCAUUUACUAGAACUACCCCCAAAAAUAUACAUCAAAAAUCAAGAAUCUGAGACAUUGGAUAUGUUACUAUUGAGUCAAAGAUCCUGUCGGUUACUAGUCAGAGUAAUUCCCUUGGCUUGGCCCAAAUAAUGGAGGCUCCAGGAGAGCUGUCUACAAGGAUAUGAGAGCUGUGUACCCGGGCAACCUUACCUUAACAAAAACAGCGUCAUACAAACUUGUAUUUUUACAAAAGAGAGAGAGAGGAGGAAUGGGGGCUGUCAUCGUCGUCGUUGUUCAGUCGCUAAGUCGUGUCCCACUUUCUGUGACUCCCAUGGACUGCAGCAUGCCAGGCCUUCCUGUCCUUCACCAGCUCCCAGAUAGCAUCACCAAUUCAAUGGAUGUGAACUUGGGUGAACUCCAAGGGUUGUAGGAAUUGCUAUAAAAUAAUCAUUGCUAUAGUUUUAUGUGUGCUGCUAGAAUACUUAAAUGUACACAUAAACAUGCAGUGUGAGAGUCCCUCUAGCUCUUGCUCAAGGAUCACGUGUUAUGUGCUCAACAAGGCAGCAUUUCUUAUGCAUUUCCAUUACUUGGAGCAUCACAAAGCGUGGUGACCUCAAGCAGCAGGUCUUUCCCUCUGCCCCAGCAAGCUACUUUAAUACUGGGUGUAAGCUCAUUUCCCCUAGUUAAUCAAUCAUAUUAAGUCCCAUUUGCUGUUUGAAAACUCACUCUGUGUGCACACAGAGCAACAGGGAAACGGGGCUCUCGCAGGCACCCGGCACCCUGGUAAAGAGCCCGGUGGGUGAGUAGACCUCCUGGAAACGUCGACAGGGUCCAGGGCAGCUGCCCAGACCAGAGCAGUCACAAUCGGCGUGCGUGCCUCUGCACCGUCAGUUCUUUCUAGCUCUGUCCAUUUCUCUUUCCCAGUGUAGACUAGCUUUGUUAUACUAGUAGAUGCUCUACCCUGCAUCUCUUCUGUGGGUGAAAUAGGCAUUCAAAUGUCUAACACAGUCAGCAAAUGCUUUCAAACCUUUUUGGCCACUGUUUAAUAGAUUUUCAUUAUAACUAAGUACACACACACAUGCACUUGUGGAGGUGAAUGUACAUGCUGUAAUAUAGAUAUAUAGUUGGACGCACACAACUAAUCUUUCAAACUAACUGUCAUCUAACUAAACUAAACACCAUCAUCUUACUUCAUGUGAUAUGCUUUGAUAUUUUCUUUUCUAUUCUUUUAUUUUACAAAAAAAUGCUGGUAAUAAUCCACUAAUGGCUUCCCAGGUAGCACUGAGUGGUAAAGAAUCCACUUGACAAUGCAGGAGACUGAGAGACUUGGGUUCAAUCCUUGAGUCAGGAAGAUCCCCUGGAGAAGGGCAUGGCAAUCUUCCUGGGCACAGAAGCAGGCAACAGUCAGUCCAUAGGGUCACAAAGAGUGGGACAUGACUGAAGCAAUUUAGCAUGCACACAUGCAAUACACUAAAUUUAUUUAAAAACCUGUUGAUGGGUCAUAACUUUCAUCCAUAACCAUCCCCUACAGUGAAGGUAGAGAUCAAAGGCAUCAGAGUAAAGUUCUCAGGAGCUUGACUGAUUUAUUAUUACACUGUGAAUUAAAUCAGAAAUUAGAACCUGUUUAUAUUUGUCACGUAAUAGCACAUUACAAGCUCCACCUUAGGUGACCAGACAGCCCUUUGGCUGUACUUUGUGAUUAGGUUAAUCUGGGGAGUGAAUCUAUCAGGGAGAGAGAAGCCCUGCAGGCCUGCGAGCUGCCCAGAAGCCCUGCCUCUCCCAUUGUUAACUUGAUGGAUCUGCACUUCCAAACAGUAAUCACCCAUCACAUGAACCCAGUUCUAUUUUUCUAGCUCAACAGGGCUCAGUGUGCUCUCUGAAGCUACAAAGGGGGGAAAAUACUCCCUCCAAUCUUGCUGCAUGAUGAAUUCUUCCACCUCUACAUAAAGCCGUGCUUACAGGCCUGUCUUAUGGGCUUUUUGAAUGUCCCAACAAUGACAAAAAAGGAAAGAAAAGAAAAAAAAAACCGGGUAGGAGAACAAUAAUGCUGUGCUGCAGCCAGCUCAUAUUGCCUUACAUUUUUCACCUCUUUCCUUAUAAGAGCUCUCAGCUCUAGGGGCAAAAAAAAGAUAAGAGGAAAGAAAAACCUACACAGUAUCAAUAAGUUUACCCUUGAGAUUAAGUCACUUUCUCAGAUGGCGUUUUCACAACAUAAAUGUUUAUGCAUUUGUGCUUAGAUUUUAAGAUAUUAGAUAAGAAAUCAAAUUUCCCUCCAGCUUUUAUUCAGCACCAUCCCCUCACAUACAAACUCACACAUACAUACAUGGAAACUGAUUCCUAAUGUCAGAGUUAAUUUCUCAUUUACCAGGAGCAUGGAGCUUUUUCUACAGAGUAUGAUCAACCUAGAGGUAUUGGCGUGUGAGUUUAAUAAUAUUUUUGAUAACUAGAAAGGAGGAAAUUAACCCAUGAGUCAUGAAAAACCUGAAAAGAUUAUUCUGAUGUUUGUUUAUCUUGAACUAAAUUUGCAAGGAAAUAAAAUUACUCUGGUAGCUAAGACUGCACACUCACAUCCUUUUGUUUGAAUUAAUUAUACUUAACUGCUCUAUAAUGUCCUGAUUAAUUAUUUCCUGUUCCAGUCAAUUGAUUGUGCAUUUUUGAUAUGAAACUUGCAUCCUGAUGAGAAUCUUGGACCUAUUUCUCACCUUGCUUGAGGGCUCCCGUAGAGCUGAUCUGAAUGACUAGCUUCAAAGGAAGCUGGCAUCGCCACCAGCACCCUAGGAGGCCUGUGUCACAGCACAAGCAGUGAGAGGGCAACUGCAUUUUCAGAUUUGCAACUGCAAUUCCAGAGCAUGGAAUCAACACUUAUGCAUGGGCAGCAGUAAACCAGAGCUUUAAAUGCUGCACCAUUUGUGAGAAGCGUAACCCCCACUCUGCGCAGGCACUGCGUGUCUUGUCUCCCAUCAGCAGACUCUCCAGAGUGAGGGGCUCUACACAGGAGGGUGGACAAGACUAGGUAGGUCCUGGAGACAGGAGAAGCUGAAUGUAUCAUUUUCUUAUCACAGCUGUAACAGAUUACCACCAGCUUAGUGAUGUCAUAGCACACAAACUUAUUAUCUUAGAGUUCUCUGUUUUAGAAACCCUAUGUCAGGAUGGGAGUAGGGCUGCAUUUCUUCUAAGUGCUCUAGGGCACAGUCCAUUGUUUUGCUCUCUCCAGUUUCUAGAGGCUCUUGUCUCCUCCCUCCCAGAAAAGCCAGCAAAGAUGCAUCUUCCAAUCUCUUUCUCUGACCUCUUGCUUCUGUCAUUUUAACUCUUUCUCUCACUUUCCUGCCUCCCUGCUUUUCUUCUAAGUAGCUUUGUGAUUAUAUUGGGUUCAGAUAAUCCCCAACAAUCUUCCAUCUCAAGAUUCUUAACCACAUCAGUCCCUUGGUACAUAGUCACAGGUUCAGAGAUUAGGAUGUGGACUUCUUUUGGGGGGACACUCUUCUACCUUUUGCACGAAGUAUCCAGAUCAAAAAAAACCAGUGUAGGUCAGGCCUGAGCUGCCCCAGUGUCAGGGCAUGUUUAACUAGUCCUGCACCAGGCACCAGGGGGAGGGGCUAGAGCAGAAGUCAGGAGGUGUGAGUUCUAAUCUUGGUAAGAGGACUUAAAGUAUAUCCGAAGACCUGCCUUGCUUUUUACCUUGGUUAAAAGUUGAUUUGCAUUCAUUGUGCCCUAAAACCAUUCACGUAGCAAUUACUACAAUAGCCCAAGAUACCAAAUUAGCUUGUACACAUGCACUAAAGACAGCAGAGAGGUGACACGGAGGACCUGAACACUGGGAGUGCCCCUGGCAUGAAACGCUAACAUCAACAUCCUAGUUGAUUGAACAAAGGGAUGCAGUAAGCAGUUAAUCCCAAGCUAUAGUUAACAUUCACACAUUUCAAGGAAGACUGUCAGAGUAGGGAAGGUUAAUAAGCUUUGGAGUGGAGAGGUGCAAAGAGGUCAGGGUGGGCCAGGCCCUUACCACCUCUCUUUCCCCCCACAAAUCCACUAAGCUCGUCCCCAAGGAGAGAUGGACACAUCAGAUACAUAGCCUGAGGUCCUGAAGUCCUCAGGUCAUGUAACUAACUGCUCUUUCCUCUGAUUCCAGGCUUGCUAUGAAACCCUGGGAUAAUUGGGCUUCCCGGGGAGGCCCCCAUGCAGGGAGAGGGACGAGAUGUCCAUCUUUGGUCCGCUUGACAGAUCGACUGUGUUUCUCCUAGAAAAUUAACAAACCGGAGUACGGACUUGCAUAUAUUAAUGCCUUGAGAGUUUAGUUGGCAUGAGUCAGCACCUCAAAGCUGUCAAUCUCUGCUCUGUGUGAAAGAUAUAUACUCUAAUUUCUCAUGAAAAUUAGCAAACAGCUAUGCUGGUUUAUAUUUAUUAAUGCCUUAGGAGUUUCUUUAGGAUGAGUCAGUGUCUAAACACUGAUCAGAUCUGAGGUACCUCCCCUCCUCUGUCCCCCACCCCCAGCACAUGUCCCAACCCUCAUUCUGGGCCACGUCCUCACACAUCUCCUCUCAUUCACACAGAGCACACCAUACAAGGUGACUUUGGAGCUGGACAGCCCUGCAGCAUUGCCCCGGGUCACCCCCAAGCAUUCUUCAGGAUGUCACUUAAAUGCUGCUUCUUUUAAAAGCCUUUUGUAACCCUUCAGCAUUCUUCAGACAUCCCUGCUUUUUGUUUGAAGAAUCCUGCAUUUUCCUCUCUUCACCCUCAUUUGGCAUCUUUCCCACCACAAGAGGAACCAGGGGAGUUUUACUCAUUUUUAGAUGCCCAGUGCCUAGCAUAAUAACUGGCACAAAGUAGGUACUCAAUGAAUAUUUAUUGAACAAAUGAGUAAAUGGACACUCUCUUGAUCACCCCUGAUGCUUCUUUUCAUCCACUAGAGAGUGGAAAACAGAUGCUAGCACACCAAAA